GCCGCGUACUAAAAUCCCCACCGUCGAGCUACUCCGCCUACUCCCCGGCGUCACACUCGAGGCCAGUAAUCGUCGCGUUCUCUGCCUCUGGUGAUUGAGGCCGAUGAAGCAGCCGUGAUGCCGAUCCCCGACGAGGACACUGUGCCGACUGACUCCCGGCCGUGGGGGCUCUGCCGGAUGCCGUUCUGGCAGGGAUCUGCCGCCUCCUCCGGCGGAGGAGGAGGGGGAGGUGGAUCAUCGACGAAUUCGUCGUCUUCGUUGACUCACCACCAGCACUACCCGGGUCAAGUGCAGGCAGAGGGGUCUAACUCCCAGCGGCAGGGGCCGCCGGGCGGAUCGGUCUCAUCGGUGGCGUGGUCGCUGCUG
rnacentral:misc_RNA from 1 species